GUGCCGCCGGCUGGGUACUGCCGCGGUGAUCGCCGGACUGCCGCACGCAAGGGGCGUCGCCAUCGAAGCUGCCUCGUUCAUCCCUGCCCAGUCGCAGUUCUGCCACCCAUCACCCUAUUCCGUCGCUGGAGAUCUCGGAGCCGCUGCUCGUUGCGCCGUCCUUGUCGCCGCCACUGCUUCCAUCUCUUCCAACGGCGCUGCUACCGCCAUCGUGAGUCGCCGCCAAAGAGGAAGCGUUGCAGCAACUGAAUCCCGAGAGGGACAGGUUCACGAGACGGGAGAGAGAGCUGCAGGGAGAGGGAGGCCGUGCGUCCUGUCGCGCGCGUCGCUGCCCAAGGACCGCCGCUGAUUCGUGCUGCGCGAAGCUAACGCUGCCGUUCCUACCGCCGGCAAGCCUCGGUUAGCACUACCGAAGCUCCGGCCAUCACCGUCGUUGAGGAAGCUCAUCGGAGUUGCUGGAGGCUGCCGCCGCUCUGCCUGGUUCUGUGUUGAGUCGCGCCGCCGUGCCUAGCUGCCGGAAAACCUCGCUGCCGCUGCUGGAGAACUCUGUCGAUGACCCACUAGAGCUUCUGGGCACCGCCGGAGCUGCUGCCGGGCCGGUUCGAAAUCACAGCUGCUUCGUGUUGAAAUUCUGAGCUGAUUAUGCUGCUGCGAAUAUGUGUGGGGCUGUGCUUUGAAGCUGCCUUUGAUUUUGAGUUGAGGCGAAAAGAACUUAUGAGGCGCUUGGAUUAUGGAAUUGCGUUUGAGGAUAUGGGCGCUGAAGUCAUGAAGGGUGUAUUUAAUUGUUGUUGUGAUGCUCUGUAUUGUUUCAGUUAUGGUUUAUUGUACCCUCGCCUUUAUCUUGAUAUAUUUUGUAAGAGGGAUAGGAAUUGUAUUGGUUAAUGCUUGUAAUAUUAUUUAUAUAUAUGUAUGUAUAUAUAUGGAUGUACUCCUUAUGAGUUUCUGUAAGUUGUAUGGUAUGUACGGAUGUUCGUUGUAUAGCAAAAGUAUUUUUGGGAGCGAUAUUGCGGUUUAAAGUUUUAAA